UUCAAGUUCUGUCUUGCAACCGUGAUAAUUGGAGGAUGCAAACUUUACACUUUCUUCUCUAGCUGUCUACCACCACUGCUGCGCUUGUGGAUGACUGCAGGAACACCGGGUACUUGCCACAAGUAUCUCUCCAGAUUCAUCAGCCUUUCACCUGUGACAAGCUCAGUCAAGAAGUGGCUCCUAAGUAAAAGCUGGGGAAGAACAAGGAAGAUAGAGCUCAGAGUAGAAAGCUGUGAAGUUCUGCACAACAGGUCCCCUUGGCCUGCUCUAACAGUUGGAAGACAGGCAUGGUAGCUCAUGUGGAAGCUUCCCGAGGCCCUCACCCAGAAGCAGAUGCUGGAGCCAUGCUUGUACAGCUUGCAGAACUGUAAGCCAAUUAAAACUCUUUUCUUUAUAAAUUAAAAUAGAUAAAUAAAAAUAAAGGAUAA
rnacentral:lncRNA from 10 species